GAUGAAGAACGUAGCGAAAUGCGAUAAGUAGUGUGAAUUGCAGAAUUCAGUGAAUCAUCGAAUCUUUGAACGCACAUUGCGCCCCUUGGUAUUCCAUGGGGCAUGCCUGUUCGAGCGUCAUUUGUACCUUCAAGCUUUGCUUGGUGUUGGGUGUUUGUCUCGCCUUUGCGUGUAGACUCGCCUUAAAAUAAUUGGCAGCCGGCGUAUUGAUUUCGGAGCGCAGUACAUCUCGCACUUUGCACUCAUAACGACAGCGUCCAAAAGUACAUUUUACACUCUUGACCUCGGAUCAGGUAGGGAUACCCGCUGAACUUAAGCAUAUCAAUAAGCGGAGGA
rnacentral:misc_RNA from 1 species